AAUCAAAAGCCAAAAAAUGGAACUUCACCGUCAAAUCUCCUUUACAUAUGCUACCUUUGCCAACCAAGAAAAGACAGUGAAAAAAUUCACAAUCAUAUAAGAAACUCUCAAAAAAUCCUCCAUAGUGGAGUCCAAUCCUCUCACAACUUUCUUGACAAAGAUUCAACAAACCAAAUCCAGCUUGCUAUCACUCAACCAGCUGCAACUAAGCUCUGUUCCAGCUGUAUUAUGUUCGAAAUAACCUCACCACUCUUCUACCCCCAGUCACGGCUGAAAGCUCCAAAUCCCACCCCAAUCAAAUAUAAAAUAACCACUUAAGUGGUUUUAUAAGACAAGAAAUAAGUUAUUUGGUCUUUAACUUUUGCCGAGAGCACCCACUCCGACGAUCCUCGACUCCAUGAAUGGGUCACUUUGGUUCCGGCAACAAUCAUUUUCAGCGGUUUAAGAUGCAACAAAUGAUUUUGGCACGUGAAUUCGCUAUUUCAACCGGUCCUUUCACUUUCUCACGGGUUCAUCAUCCAGUGGUUACUGCAAGAGGUAUGGGAAGAAUUAAUGGUGGAAGUGACAUGUCUUUUUCUCUACAGCUAGUGCACAGACCUUUUUUUUUUUUUUUUAAGGAUAAUGUGCUUAAUCCCGCCUCUCGCCUGGGACGAGUCAGCUACUUUAUUUCUUGGGACUUUUUCACAUGCUCAAGCCCAAUGUAACAUCAUGGCAAUGUCUCCUUUUAUUUUAUGGGAAGGGUUCGUAAAUCAAGUGUUAAUUAUCUCUAAUUCAAAAUUCAAGUUAC
rnacentral:lncRNA from 1 species